rnacentral:rRNA from 1 species
AGGGGAUUGCCCUAGUAACGGGCGAGUGAAGCGGCAACAGCUCAAAUUUGAAAUCUGGCCCUCGGGUCCGAGUUGUAAUUUGUAGAGGAUGCUUUUGGCGCGGUGCCUUCCGAGUUCCCUGGAACGGGACGCCUUAGAGGGUGAGAGCCCCGUACGGUUGGACACCAAGCCUCUGUAAAGCUCCUUCGACGAGUCGAGUAGUUUGGGAAUGCUGCUCUAAAUGGGAGGUAAAUUUCUUCUAAAGCUAAAUAUUGGCCAGAGACCGAUAGCGCACAAGUAGAGUGAUCGAAAGAUGAAAAGCACUUUGAAAAGAGGGUUAAACAGCACGUGAAAUUGUUGAAAGGGAAGCGUUUGCGACCAGACCUUUUCCUGGCGGAUCAUCCGGUGUUCUCACCGGUGCACUUCGCCAGGUCGAGGCCAGCAUCGGUUUCCGCAGGGGGAUAAAAGCGUGGGGAACGUAGCUCCUCCGGGAGUGUUAUAGCCCCUCGCAUAAUACCCUUGCGGGGACCGAGGACCGCGCCUUCUGGCAAGGAUGCUGGCGUAAUGGUCGUCAACGACCCGUCUUGAAACACGGACCAAGGAGUCGAACAUUUGUGCGAGUGUUUGGGUGUUAAACCCUCACGCGUAAUGAAAGUGAACGGAGGUGAGAGCCCUUGCGGGUGCAUCAUCGACCGAUCCUGAUGUCUUCGGAUGGAUUUGAGUAAGAGCAUAACUGUUCGGACCCGAAAGAUGGUGAACUAUGCGUGGAUAGGGUGAAGCCAGAGGAAACUCUGGUGGAGGCUCGCAGCGGUUCUGACGUGCAAAUCGAUCGUCAAAUCUGCGCAUGGGGGCGAAAGACUUAUCGAACCAUCUAGUAGCUGGUUACCGCCGAAGUUUCCCU